AUUGAACGCUGGCGGCAUGCUUUACACAUGCAAGUCGAACGGCAGCGCGGGCUUCGGCCUGGCGGCGAGUGGCGAACGGGUGAGUAAUACAUCGGAACGUGCCCAGUAGUGGGGGAUAGCUCGGCGAAAGCCGGAUUAAUACCGCAUACGACCUGAGGGUGAAAGCGGGGGAUCUUCGGACCUCGCGCUAUUGGAGCGGCCGAUGGCAGAUUAGCUAGUUGGUGGGGUAAAGGCCUACCAAGGCGACGAUCUGUAGCUGGUCUGGGAGGACGACCAGCCACACUGGGACUGAGACACGGCCCAGACUCCUACGGGAGGCAGCAGUGGGGAAUUUUGGACAAUGGGCGAAAGCCUGAUCCAGCAAUGCCGCGUGUGUGAUGAAGGCCUUCGGGUUGUAAAGCACUUUUGGCGGGAACGAAAAGGACUGUGCCAAUACCACGGUUCGAUGACGGUACCCGCAGAAUAAGCACCGGCUAACUACGUG
rnacentral:rRNA from 1 species